AUUGAACGCUGGCGGAAUGCUUUACACAUGCAAGUCGAACGGUAGAGGGGGCAACCCCUUGAGAGUGGCGAACGGGUGAGUAAUAUAUCGGAACGUGCCCAGUCGUGGGGGAUAACGUAGCGAAAGUUACGCUAAUACCGCAUACGAUCUAAGGAUGAAAGCGGGGGAUCGCAAGACCUCGCGCGAUUGGAGCGGCCGAUAUCAGAUUAGGUAGUUGGUGGGGUAAAAGGCUCACCAAGCCAACGAUCUGUAGCUGGUCUGAGAGGACGACCAGCCACACUGGAACUGAGACACGGUCCAGACUCCUACGGGAGGCAGCAGUGGGGAAUUUUGGACAAUGGACGCAAGUCUGAUCCAGCCAUUCCGCGUGCAGGAUGAAGGCCCUCGGGUUGUAAACUGCUUUUGUACGGAACGAAAAGGUUUCUAUUAAUACUAGGAGCUCAUGACGGUACCGUAAGAAUAAGCACCGGCUAACUACGUGCCAGCAGCCGC
rnacentral:rRNA from 1 species